AUAAAGGCGCUAUUGUAUAUAACCAUAAGAUAACAGUUUAAAAAAACUUUAUCUAAUGUACAUGACCUACUAUGACGGGCGAUGAUACAUCGUUUCUAAGACUGUAUCGUAUCGUUAUAUAGCGUUUUUCGUCCGCUAAUAAAACCCAUUUUUCUUGUAGUGAUUUUCAUCAAUAAUUUAACUUUAGAGCACCAAGGACACGUGUACAAUUCUUAUAUGGGUCUCGAUGUUUCUGGAGUCGAAGUUUGAAGAACAUCACCAUCGGCUUCACCGGAGACCUGUCGGAAUGGGUAUCUUCAGAAAUAUCUUCGACUAGUUGAAUCUACUUGACCGAUUUUCCAAUCCCUGUUCGCCGUCAAUCCUGCUCGAAUCUUCAUCGAACUUGUUAGAUGUAAGCUUCAGUGAAUAGCUUCAGAGAGAAAAAAGCGAGGUCUUGCCAGAACAUUUCCGAUGAAGAAAACUCUAGCUAAUCUAAACCUGCAUCUUCUCUCUACGCUUAAUCAAACAUCUUAAUCUCCAUCCCGCAAAGGAUACUCCGCCAAAGUUUUAAACACGAAGAUUAAUACCUUAUCUGGGAAAGAAAUCAAGCAUGACUAACAAGAAGAUUGGAAUCUUGCAAAAUCAAUCGGAAUAUAGAUUUGUGAAGGAUAGAAAAAUUGGAUUUUGAGAAAAAACACAACAAAAAGUCGCCUAACGAAAUGAUAAUCGCCAAAGCGAAGAACAAAAUCGAUCCUAAGAUCAAAAAUAUACACAAACCAAAAAACAAAAGAAAAGUAGAUGGUAACCGGCGGCAAAGAGCCACCGGCCACCCACACACAUAAGGGGUGACUAAUAAGAGAAUUUAAGUAACGAGAGAGUAAAAUGUGAUAUACCAUACCAUUUAUAAAG
rnacentral:lncRNA from 1 species